CAUAGAAGUCGCUUCCUAAUUUUUGCUUGUCUUUACUUCGUGUUCUAGCACAAGUUCUAAACUUUUCUAAGUACGCCUCUCGGUUACCAAAUAGUAUUCUAACACAUUUCUUCUGAGUGAUAAAUAUUGGUUCAAGCCUGUUGUUACUAAGGCCACCCCAUACUGAUAUCCCAAAUCGCAAGUGUGAUUCAAAUAGUGUGUAGUACAGUUCUUUGUAGAGUUUUUCUGGAAUAAUGUGCCGUAUUCUACAAAUUUUCCCACUUUCACAUUUCAGCUUUGUGUUGAGCGACCGUAUUUGAGCAUCCCAUUUAAGCUGAUCAUCAAUAAUAACACCAAGAAACUUCACCUUUUUGACUUGCUUUAUUACUACAUUGUUUAGAGUCAAUUCUGCUAGAGUCCAAGUUUCUAUCAAAGAUUUGGAAGAUGGGUGAGUGGUGUGAUAUACGGUCAGUCAGUAUUCCAGAAGCUACUAUACUCUCUACGUCGUAACUACACUUGGGGAGACUGUCAAGGAUGUCAGAGAGUUCAGAUAGUGCAACAUUGACAUUACCACUUGGAGGACGGUACAUUACACCAACUGUUACUGGGGAAGUUGUACUACUUACGGCCACAAAAAGAGUUUCUAAAUGUUCAGUGAUAUGGGAUACAUUGCCGUUUACUCUGGCACUAAGAGUGUCACAAACAUAGAGAGCCACUCCAGUGCCCUUUUUUUUAUCUGGUAUUGUGUUUUGGUAGAAACUGUUGUAUCCAGUUAAUUGAUACAAACUGCUGGAUUCAGGACCUUCAUUUGUUUCCGCUAAGGCUAUGAUCGAGAAUUUCUUGGUGAGCCUAUGGGAUUCAAUAGCGAAAGUGUCGAAAUUUGACUUAUUGCCGUCGAUGUUUUGGAAGAGAAGCGAUGAAAAUUCAUUCAUUUGAUUAUCUAGUGCUUUGUUGAAUUCCUUGACAUUGUACGAUACGCAGUUAUUUAGUAUUUGAUCUACUUUUAUGAUAGUGUCAUCCACUUCACUACUUUCAAUAUCACUUAAAUUAGUGCAUGCAAGUCGAAAUGGAUUGUAACGAAUAACUGCUAAAUGUACGCACUUGGGACAGUAAAAAUCGUCAGAUAAUGUGUCAUUGUUAAUGGAUUUGGUAUAGCACUUAUGGUGCAUUGGGCAGUCGCAUUCACAGCAUUCAACAAUGAAUUGUCCUACGUUAAUGAACUUCGCACAGACUAGGCAUACCUCUUU